GAUUGACCUCGGAUCAGGUAGGGAUACCCGCUGAACUUAAGCAUAUCAAUAAGCGGAGGAA
rnacentral:rRNA from 1 species